CCUACGGGAGGCAGCAGUGAGGAAUAUUGGUCAAUGGCCGGAACGCUGAACCAGCCAAGCCGCGUGAAGGACGAAGGUGCCAAGCAUUUUAAACUUCUUUUGUCAAGGGACAAAAUCAGGCUCGAAUGCCUGAGCGAGGGUACUUGAAGAAAAAGCCUCGGCAAGCUCCGUGCCAGCAGCCGCGGUACUACGGAGAAUGCGGGGGUUAUCGGAAUUGAUUGGGUUUAGAGGGUGCGUAGGGGGACUGUUAAGUCAGCGGUAAAAGCCCGGGGCUCAACCCCGGCGAGCCGUUGAUACUGGGUGUCUUGAGAUGUCGAGAGGUAUGCGGAAUGCGCAGUGUAGCGGUGAAAUGCUUAGAUAUUGCGAAGAACUCCGAUGGCGAAGGCAGCAUACCGGCGGCGAUCUGACGCUGAGGCACGAAAGCGUGGGUAUCGAACAGGAUUAGAUACCCGUGUAGUC
rnacentral:rRNA from 1 species